CCUACGGGAGGCAGCAGUGAGGAAUAUUGGUCAAUGGCCGGAAGGCUGAACCAGCCAUGCCGCGUGAGGGAUGAAGGUCUUCGGAUCGUAAACCUCUGUCAGCAGGGAAGAACGGUCACUGUGCUAAUCAGCAGUGAAUUGACGGUACCUGCAAAGGACGCACCGGCUAACUCCGUGCCAGCAGCCGCGGUAAUACGGAGGGUGCGAGCGUUAAUCGGAAUUACUGGGCGUAAAGCGCUCGUAGGCGGGAUGUCAAGUCAAGGGUGAAAUCCCCGCGCUCAACGUGGGAACUGCCUUUGAAACUGGCAAACUUGAGUGUGUGAGAGGAUAGUGGAAUUCCAGGUGUAGGAGUGAAAUGCGUAGAUAUCUGGAGGAACAUCAGUGGCGAAGGCGACUAUCUGGCACAUAACUGACGCUGAGGAGCGAAAGCGUGGGUAGCAAACAGGAUUAGAUACCCUGGUAGUC
rnacentral:rRNA from 1 species